CCGCCAUGGGCCUGCGCCGCCUCGGGACCGGGGUCAGGGUGCCACGGCUUACCAAUGGAAGAUUAGGCCAGAUGGCUCCUGAGAGUGCUUUGGGAGAUUCUCUGUUCCUUCUGGGAAUGGCAGGGAUAGGAGGGGGUCCCAGAAGUUUGAACGCUUUGGCAUCCAAGAAAUCACACUCCAAAUACUGCUCUUCUGGCCUCCCCUGGGCUGCCUUCUCCAACCGUGUUCCUGGGAACCGAAGGGCAGAAAUUGCCCUCUUGGGCUUAUAAACAAGGAGCUCCUGCCUGCCUGGAUGAAGAGGAGGUCAAGACUUUGUCCCCCACUCCGCAAGAUACCCUCUCUGUUCCGGAGCGGUGGGUCCCUCCCCUGUUAGGACCUUGUCUCCCUCAGGACUGGACCUGGAUCCUGGGCCUGCAGUCAGAUUGCCAGUUUCACUUAGAGGUGGAAAUGUCAACCCACUGGUUGGAAUGGGAAGGUGAGACAGGAUUUCACCAUGUUAGCCAGGAUGGUCUUGAUCUCCUGACCUCAUGAUCUGCCCACCUCGGCCUCCCAAAGUGCUGGGCUUACAGGCGUGAGCCACCGUGCCCGGCCAAAAAUAACUUUUAAAAACAUGAGUAUAGCAUACACACACACAAAAGUCCACAAAUCCUAGGUGUACCACUUGAUGAAUGAUCCCAACGUGAGCACACCUCUGGAUUACCACCUGGAUCAAGAAAUAGGACAUCACAGCAGCUGGCAGCUUCCAAGGAGAAGCUCUGGAAAGUUCUGCCUGUCUCAGCACCUGGCUGGAUCGGAAACGAGUUUUCUUUAACCAGAUUUUUAAUGACUGACUUAUGUGGACAAAUCAUAACUGAAUGAAUCACCUCCUUUGUUGAUUUUUUUGGGUACUUUAUUUGCUAUUAUAAAUGAUGCUGUAAUAAGCACCCUUGAAGAAAUCUUCAUAUCUGCCUCUCCUGUGUAGCAGGUCACAGUGCCUGGGUUUGGUUCUAGCCCUCAUUUGUGAACUGUGUGACUCACCAUGCCUUUUUUCUUUCUGUAAGACAGGAAUAAUGGUAAGAAUUUAAAUGGGGGUAAUAUGGAGCGCGUUUAGUUCAGAGCCUGGUGCAUACAAGCACUCAAUAAGUACUGGCGAUUAUUAGACCUUUAGAUUAAUUUAUUAGAAGUUGGAUUUCUGGUGAAAGGGUUUGAGUGUUUUUGAGGCUUUGGCACAGAAUACCCAGCUGGUCCCAGAAAGGUGGUUCCCAUUUACCUGCCCGAAGGUAAUUCACCCUUACUGAUACUGAGUACUGUUUUCUAAAAGAACAUUAAAAAUUGGAUAGGUUAAAAACAGGUGAAUACAUUUUUUUAGUUGCAUUUUUUUGGUUACCCGUGAGAGUGAACAUGUUGCCAUGUGUUUGCUGACCUCCUAAAUGGUCUAUUUGCUCCUACCUUUGUACCCCAAAAGUCUGCUCUCAAGAUGGUAGCCAGAAUGAUCCUUUUUGAGACAUAAGUCAAAAUUUCACUCUUCUCCUUAAAGCUCUGCAAUGGUUCUCAGGUUAAAAGCCAAAGUCCUGUUCAAGGCCUCCAGGGUCCUCACCACUUGGUCCCUUGCUCUUUCUGUUCUAGCCAACUUGGCCUUCUCCUGCCCCUCCGCCGCACCAUGGCAAUUUCCCCUGCUCUGUGUGGUCAACUACCUGAAUCUGUUCAAAGCUUUGCUCAAAUGUCUCCUUCCUGAUGAGACCUCCCCAGCCCCUGAGCUCCCCAUGCCUCACUCCUGAUCGCCUUACUUAACCCUUCUUUUUCUUUUUUGCCAGUAGUACUUAUCACCGUCUAAAAUACUUCAUAAUUUACUUGUUUAUUGUUUGCCCCUCUCCAAUAGAAUGUAAGCUCCUUGGGGCAGGGACCUUUGUCCUUUGUCUUGUUCACUGCUGUGUCCCAUGUGUAAACUUGUCUGGCACAGAAGAGGUGCUCGAUAAAUAUUUGUUGAGUGAAUGAAUGGUAAAUUUUCUGUUCAUAUUCUUUGACUAUUUUCUAUUGUAAUGUUCAUCUUUUUAGUAUUGGUUUAUAAGAUGUAUAUUUAGCACCUUUUCAUAUAUCACUCUUUGUCACAUAUUAUGCAACUAAUUUGUCAUUUCCAUCAAUUUUUAAAAUACUUUCUUGAUGCUUCAUUUUUAAGCUGUCAGAUUAUUAAUCUUUUCUUUAUGGUCUUGGACUUUAUUGUUGCAUAACCGCUGCCUUCACCAGGAACAUAUAAAUUUUCAAUUAAAUGUUCUUCUGAGAUUUUAUGAUUUCACUUUUUAUAUUAAACUCUUCAUUUUGUCUUCAUGUGUGGUGAGAGGUAAGAACAUAACUUUAAAGCAAAUUAACCAACUAUCCCCAAAUGAAUUAUAAAUAAAUUAAUCAUUUUCCAAUGAUCUGAAAGGCCAUUUUAUCAUACACUAAAUAUUUUUGUGUGUUUGACUGGGUUUACCGUUCUGUUCCGUUGGCCUAUCACAUCGUUCUUACAUUGGUAUUUGUUGCCCUAUUUUAAUGAUUGUAACUUUUUAAUAAGGGUUAAUGACUGAGAAUACAAGUCCCAUUGUUUUGUUUUAUUAUUUUUAUUAUUUUUUUGAGACAGGGUUUCACUCUGUCACCCAGGCUGGAGUAUAGUAGCACUAUCUCGGCUCAUUGCAACCUCUGCCUCCCUGGUUCAAGUGAUUCUCCCACCUCAACCUCCCGAGUAGCUGGGACUACAGAUGCAUGCCACCACACCCAGCUAAUUCUUGUAUUUUUAGUAGAGACAGGGUUUCACCAUGUUGACCAGGCUGGUCUUGAACUCCUGGCUUCAAGUGAUUCACCUGCCUCGACCUCCCAAAGUGCUGGGAUUACAGGCGUGACUCACCACGCCUGGCCCAUUUUUUUCUUUUGAGGUGUUCUUUGUGGCAAUUCAUAUAUUCUUUAAGAUAAAUUCUAAACUUUUUUUUUCUGCCGAGAUAAACUAGCAGACAAAUCCCACUGGACAUUGCAAUUGGAUUAGUUUUGUAGAUUAAUUUAGUGAUAAUCAACUUCUUUGCACCAUUGAGUGCUUCUGUCCGGGAACGUGGCAUAUCUUUCUAUUAUUAAGGUCUUUUUUAUUAUAGGUCUUUAGGGAAGCUUUAUUUUAUAGAUGAAUGUAGUGUGUUUGGUGCUUAUUUUCAUAAAAUAAAGCAAUGACAUCUGUGGCAGGCAGCUUCUGAAAUGGCUCCCAAUGAUCCUUACCUUCUGAUAGUCACCCCCUUGGAGAAUCCCUUUCCUUUGUGUGUGGGCUGGAUCUAGUGACUUGCUUCUCAUAAAUAGAAUAUGGCAAAAAAUGAUGGGUUGUUACUUCUGAGAUUAGGUUAUAAGAGGCGAAUUUCUGUUUUGCUGUAAUUUUGUCUCUCUAACCCUCUUGCUUUCCUGUGCUCAUGAAACCAGCUGCUGUGUUGUGAGCCACCUUAUGGAAAACCCAUGUGGCAGAGAACCGAGGGUGGUGGCUGGCCAACAGCAAGCCAGGAGCUGAGGCCCACAGUCCAACAACUGAGACUGGGUCCCACCAUAUUGCCUGGGCUGGCCUCGGACUCUUGACCCCAAGUGAUCCUCUGGCCUCAGCCUCCCAAGCAGCUGGAUUUACAGGCAGGCACCACCGCACCGAGCUAAAAACGCCUGGCUUCCCUGGGCCUGCUGCACCUGCUCUGGCUAGGUUGGAGAGGGCUGCAGGGAGGACCGCAGUCAGCAGAGGGCGCCAAAGCCUCUCAACACAAGCAUGGCCCAGGCCUGGCCCAGAAGGAGAGCGCUGAGAGCCAGGACUGGCGGGCUACGUGCGCCCUGUGGAUUCCCCCAUUUCCCAUGCUUCAUCCAGCCAUGGGCCUGCAGUGCACUCACAAAUGUGCAUAUACCCUCCUGUGUGUGUGUUACACUCAUCAAAUUGUCUCUGAAUUUGCUUGGCUUCAUGUGUUCCUGUGUGUGUUUAUGUGUGUGUGUGGUGUGUCUGGUGUAUCUGGUUCCCCAGGAAGCACAUUUGACAGCCCCACAGUCAGGGUCAGGGCACAGGGACAGAUACUGUGUCUAUAACAAUCCAUAACACUGAUUUUGUUCAUCUCAAUAAAUGUGAGAAUGAAAUAAAAAUUAAUGUAGAAUAUUUUGUACAUCUCAAUAAAGCCACUUUCUGGGGGCAGGCAUUAUAAUUCUAGCCUCUGUUCUACUGUUUGAUAGGUAAAGAAUAACUUUCCACAUAGGGAGAGGAAUGGACAGCUACCCAGCCCUCCCACUGUUACAGGCCUGGGCUAGAAGCUUUCCAUCUAGGCUCCUGGUUG
rnacentral:lncRNA from 1 species